rnacentral:snRNA from 1 species
AUACUUACCUGGCAGGGGAGAUGCCAUGAUCACAAAGGUGGUUUUCCCAGGGUGAGGCUUAUCCAUUGCACUCCGGAUGUGCUGACCCCUGCAAUUUCCCCAAAUGUGGGAAACUCGACUGCAUAGUUUGUGGUAGUGGGGGACUGCGUUUGCACUUUCCCCUG